rfam:Chlorocebus sabaeus isolate 1994-021 chromosome 12, whole genome shotgun sequence.
GCCGGAUGCGGUGGCUCACGCCUGUAAUCCCAGCACUUUGGGAGGCCAGGGCAGGCGGAUCACCUGAGGUCAGGAGUUCAAGACUAGCCUGACCAACAUGGAGAAACUCCAUCUCUACUAAAAAUACAAAAUUAGCUGAGCNGCUCAGCUAAUUUUGUAUUUUUAGUAGAGAUGGAGUUUCUCCAUGUUGGUCAGGCUAGUCUUGAACUCCUGACCUCAGGUGAUCCGCCUGCCUU